ACUUUGGCAACACGUCACACAAACCGUGAUUUAAGUCAGGUACAGUAUCAAUAACUGUGUAACAGAGCAGGUACUUUGCAAUUUAAAGAAAACGAAAUCUUAUUUUCUCUCCAGCACUGAGACUUCCUCGGCGCUGCCAAUCACAUCAUCGUCUCUCACUGAUGGUCAAUCCAAUGAACGAGCAUUGGAGACUGAUGUGCAUGCGCUGUGAGUUGGUCAAAGAAUUUGAUUCAGUGCUCUCCUAUGAGC